GUGGAUUAGAUACCCGGGUAGUCCUGGCCGUAAACGAUGGGUACUAGGUGUGGGGGGUGUCAACUCCUCCCGUGCCGGCGCUAACGCAAUAAGUACCCCGCCUGGGGAGUACGGCCGCAAGGUUGAAACUCAAAGGAAUUGACGGGGGCCCGCACAAGCGGUGGAGUAUGUGGUUUAAUUCGACGCAACGCGAAGAACCUUACCAGGGUUUGACAUCCACUGAAUACUUAAGAGAUUAGGUAGGCCCUUUCGGGGGACAGUGAGACAGGUGGUGCAUGGCUGUCGUCAACU
rnacentral:rRNA from 1 species